GAUGAACGCUGGCGGCGUGCUUAACACAUGCAAGUCGAACGAUGAAGGGGAGCUUGCUUCCUGGAUUAGUGGCGAACGGGUGAGUAACACGUGAGCAACCUGCCCCGGACUCUGGGAUAAGCGCUGGAAACGGUGUCUAAUACUGGAUAUGAGCCAUGACCGCAUGGUCUGUGGUUGGAAAGAUUUUUCGGUUCGGGAUGGGCUCGCGGCCUAUCAGCUUGUUGGUGAGGUAAUGGCUCACCAAGGCGUCGACGGGUAGCCGGCCUGAGAGGGUGACCGGCCACACUGGGACUGAGACACGGCCCAGACUCCUACGGGAGGCAGCAGUGGGGAAUAUUGCACAAUGGGCGGAAGCCUGAUGCAGCAACGCCGCGUGGGGGAUGACGGCCUUCGGGUUGUAAACCUCUUUUAGCAGGGAAGAAGCG
rnacentral:rRNA from 1 species